rfam:Oryctolagus cuniculus unplaced genomic scaffold chrTn0049, whole genome shotgun sequence.
CCAAAGGCUCUUUUCAGAGCCACCCAGAGACCUCUGGAGGGAGCUG